UGACAUUAUAAUUCAAAUUUAAUAAUAAUUUUUCACUUAUUCAUUCAAUAUUAGUUAGAUCUUAUUAUUUCUUAGGCACUAUUCUGAGACCAAAAAGAUACUGUGAGGUGGCCCAGAAAAAGCUGCGUAGAGAACAAAAAGACCCGGGAGAAUCAGAAAGAAAAGGAGAGAGCCAGCCUUGGUGUCCUUGGGCUUUUACCUCCCAAGUGACAGUGACCAGGCGGGAGGACCAGCUGCUGAACACCAGGAUUGUACCCGGCGUCCAGGAUAAUGUUGACUGAAGUACUGAUCCAUUAGCCCAAGCCAGGACCACAGUGAUGGAGCUUCCCAAGGCUUUUCCUGUCCCACCCACACUGCUGGGAAGAUGAAGAGAGGACCUGAGGUGCCGGAAGCCAUUGUUUUUUCAGAGACAAUGGAACAAAACUGCAAGUCAGGCAGCAGAGGAAAAAAAUAUUGCAAAUUACUCAUCGAACCAGAUUUCCACCUUUACCCAUUCCCCUACUUCUCAUCCCCUAUCUCCAUCCACCAUCCCCCACCCAUGGAGCCAAAGGACCGGACAUGAUCAGGACCCGAAUACCAGAACACUUUCAGAGGCCACUGUCCAGGCGGUCCCCAUGCCGACCCCUCAAGCCCAUGCCCCAAAACCUGGAUCAGGGAGACUGAACUCCUUGCUCAUGGACUUCACAAUAAAGCUUUUUUCUUUUCUCAAAAGCUGGUGCCAUGGUAUUGGCUUUUAUGCACAUCAGACAGCGAGCCCUUGCUUGGUAACAAGUCCAUCGAACAGC